UGCUCGUCAUCUUUAUAAUGAGGUAUCAUACCCUAGUACCAAAAAUACAUCCCAUUUCCUUAAAAGAAUUUGAAUGACUUCUGCCAUCUUGCAUUCAUGGCCAUUUUUGUAUGUGUGAGUCUGUGUGUAUGUGGCAUUUGGGGGGUUUAUUAUACAUGGUUUUUUUUUCCUGUAAGACAGUGGACAAUUAUACUUCUAUUGGUUUUCAAGUUAAUGGCCUCUUGCAUUUCAUGUGUGGGGGUUUUAUCUGGGAGCAUAGGUGAAUUCUCUGCAGCCUGAGAAAGCCAGCUUCUGUUUCUCCCUGGCCUAAAUCUUCUUCCUACCUCAGAGUCUACCUGUUUAGGGCAAACCUUCGCUUACCUGCCUUGCCUCCGAGGUUAGCCAAGUGGCUCAUCUGGCUUCCAGGAGCGCUUAUGUGGUUUUGACACAGAUGAACAUCAGUAAGUACCUAUCUUCAACUCUGCCAAAUGGGAAUCAUUAAAUCGAAAGCAUCUAACUCAUUUAACGUUGCAACUGAAAACAGGUGUCCCCUCUCAAGAUCCCCAAGAUGGCAAAAUUUGUAAUAAGCUUCUAAUACUGAGAGGCAGGUGAUAUAUCAUGUGCUCCCCAAAUAUGCACAAUUUUCGUCAAUUUAUACUUUUAGAAUGUCGACAUCGCUAAGACUAAAUUUGCGUUUCCUAAUGCCAACUGAAAAGAGUGUGUACACAAAAAGAGGUAGAAUUUCAGUUAAGACAUAUGAGGGCUAUCCAGGGGAUAUUUUAGAGUUUUUCGCUCUUCAGUCAAAAGAAACAUUUACACUAGCCACUGGAAUAGGUUCUGAGGUGUUUCCAGGCAGAAGGAAUCACGAGUCGUGGAAGGAGGAAGGAUAAUGCUUACAUGAGGGUAAAUAGUCUAGUUCAGUGGUUAUCAAACUUCAGCACACACUAGAAUUAACUUGGAGCACUUGUAAAACCCCAAAUUAUGAGGCUCUACUUCUAGAGUUUGUGAGUCAGUAGGUCUCGGGUGGGGACGGAGAAUUUGCCUUUCUGAUGAGUCCCAGGGCUACUGGUGCUGCUGGUCCUGGGACCAUGCUUUGAGAAACACUGACAUAAUUUAGCUGGAGAAAUGCAAAUAGAGGGAGCAGGAUAUAAAACUGGAAAACCAGUCUGAGUUUAUAUCAUGGAUGACCCUUACUGUCAGGGUUUACUAGUUUAUUUAAUCAACAUUUAUUGAGUGCCCACCAUGUCCUAGGUACUGGCCCAAGCCCUCCCUCCAGAGAGCCAACAGUUAAUAAUAGUGACUCACAGCCAGAGCUUGAAGUAUAGUGAGUAGAGUUUGAAGAAGCACAUUGAAUCUUGUAGUUUUAUAUUUAAGGAGUAGAAAAAAAUCCCUAUUGUUUCUGUAAUAUACAAUACAGGAGGGAUGUGAGAUUUUUACAUGAAUCAAAAAGGGGGAUAUGGGUUAAGUGUUGAGAAACGCUUAGUGGCACAAUGAUGCUUUUGAAGAUUUUUAAGAAAGGGAGCCAUCUGUGCAAGAUGUGUAUAAUAAGCUGGUUAAUGGUAGCAGGCAGGACGCUGGUCGGAUUGGAGGGAGGAGACCAGUGUGACUACAUGUGUAACGAAGGCCUUAGCCUCACGCGAGGAUUGGGGGUGGAAAGGAAGAGAAAAGUGAGAUUCUAGAGCUGGAAUCUUUAGGACUUGGCCAUUGACUGAUUGGGAUCUGGGAAAAAAUGGGAGGUUCAAAUGAAUAGAAAGUUUCAAACACGAAUGACCUGGUAGUUGCCAUGGUGAUAGUCAUAUACAUAAGAAACUUAAUAAAAUGAUAUAUGGAGGAAAGUUGAUGAAUUUGGUUUGGGGCUUUUAGAGUUUCAACUGCCAGUUGGGUAUCUAAGUCAAGGAGACACAGGAAAAUGCUGGUCUUGGGUUCAGGGGGUAGAUUGGGACAAUGAUCUCUAUAUUUCAGAGUCAUUUGUAUCAAAGUGAUAGAAUUUAAGAAUAGGUGAGAUCACCAAUGGAGACAAUAACCGUGGCAGUUUGAUUAUUUUUAUAUAUUGAAUUAUUUAAGGUAUUUGUUUGCUUUAUUUCUUACGGCUUUUUUUUUUUAAGCUUUUUGAUGUGGACCAUUUUUAAAGUCUUUAUUGAAUUUGUUACAAUAUUGCUUCUGUUUUAUUUUUUUUGGCCCCGAGGCAUGUGGAAUCUUAGCUCCCCGACCAGGGAUCGAACCCACACCCCCGGCACUGGAAGGCGAAGUCUUAACCACUACACCACCAGGGAAGUCCCUAUUUCUUAAGUAUUUAAAGUGAUUAGACAUCUUUUUUAUAAUCCUCUCUUUUAUUAUUUUUUGCUUAUUGCCUUGAUAUAUCUUCGAAGAGAUGAGGAAAGGGGUGUGAAAAUCAGGAGAGCGAAAGGGAAAGAGGAUUCAUUCAUUCAUUUAUUCAUUCAACGGACAUUUGUUGAAGGUCUACAGUGGGCCAAGAUAGGUGCUGAGGCUACGGUUGUGAGCAAAACAGGCAUUGUCCCUGCCUUCACUGAGCUUAUAGUUUGAUGGGGAGACAUGUCUUUUUAAAAAAUGACAUAAUAAUCAUAAAAGUGAAUAUAUAAUUAAAGCUGGAUGCUUUAAAGACAAAGUAAAGAAUGUAGUAGAAAGGAAAGACUUCCCUUUUGCUCUGAAGAAUUUGGAAAACUAGGUAAAAGAGGAUGGGGAUAGGUUUAAAGCUUUCCAGGCAAAGGCAAGGUACCAUUUAUGCAAAAUCUUUAAAGCAGAAUGCCGGAAUCCUCACAGAACUUAAAGAAGGCUAAUGUGGCAGGAACCUCGUAAGCGAAAGGGUCAGAGGUAGAAGAUGAGUGAAAUCAGAUGGUACGGAGCCAUGGCGAGUCAGUGAAAGAUUUUAAGUAAAAGAACAUUGUGAUAGAGCACUCCUGGAGGAUAGAGUUUGGAGAAUCCAUUGGAUGGCGCAGGAAAGGAUACAGGGGACCAGUUGGAUGGCUGUGGCAGUAGUCCAGAUGAGAAAUAGUGCACUAAGAUAGCUACAGUAGAUACAGAGAGAAGUAGGUGGGUUGGAGAGUUUUAGGAGGUGCAGUUUUUAAAAAAGACAUGAGUAAUUGUGUGAGGAGGCAGCAGAGGGGGAGGUGUCAAGGAUGGUGUCCAGGUAAUUGGAUGCCGUCACUGAACGAGGAAACACUGCAGGAAAGAGCUUAUACCUGUCUACCCCUCACACACCUGGGAGUCAUCCCCUUAGACCCCGGGGGUGCCUCAUCAAACUCACCUUGACCCAGGGCAGCUGUCUUAGUCCACAGGUGCCUGAGAACUGACGAAGGCCUUUCCACGUGGAAUCUUGCCUGCACUGUGUCUUGCCACCCCAGUUUGUUUUUUUCUGCCUUCUUAGGUUUAAACUUGAAUGUAUUUCUUAGAGUGGGCUUUUAAGAAGCAAGUCAUUGCCAACCUUAGGCCCCUUUUCUCAUCCUUCUAUUUUAGUCAUAGAAAAGUUUGCUUUUCUUGUCUAAACUGGCGCAUUGACAUGCAGACUUGACAUCAGAUAAGAGGGGCGUGUGCACUCCAUCAAUCUGCAGAGUUUUAUUUGCUUCUAGGGCUUCUGUGGCAUUUGUAGAAGACUGCCUGCCUCACUGGGUUCAGUCCAUGUGAGCUUUUCAGGUCUGAGAGUAGCAUGUAAUAGCUCCCUAUAUGAACAGCUAGAAAGAAGCAUAUUUAAUGAGGCUUUUCAGGGAGCCAGCCCCCUACACAAGAGACUCAGCUGAGAGUCUUGUGCAAUUUGGGCACUGCAAGAGUUAAACAGAUUUUAAUCAAAUAGCUUUCUACCCACCUCCUCUCCUCAAUUCAAAAAGCAGUAGUGCAGUUCUGGAUAUGUAAUCAAAUGGGGUUUGUCAGUUGCUUGGCUAGUUUAAUGGGAAGGGAUUGACAUUAAAUCUGCUCUGUUUACCAUCAGUCUUGAUAAUCUGUAAGAGAGUAGAGGGGACACUGAUGAAAUUCACAGAUGAACAGAGAGGUCCCAUCAGGAGGGAACAAAAAAUUAACUUUAAGGGUCCUAGAGAGAUUGGAAAUGGGCAGGAAGUAGCCAAGUAAAAAUCAGCUUGGAAAAAUGUAUAUAACCCAUCUGGGAAAAAAAGUACUAUCUAUACCUGGCUGAUGGUCAAGAGGAGAAAUAAAGCUAUUCGGAAUAGUGCUUUAGAACACAUAGAUAUAAAUGACCUCCAGGUUUUUACAUAAUGAUCACCUUAAAAGUCUGUGUAUUGUUGGGUGUGGGGGUGCUCUUUCACCAACUUGAAACCACUGCUGUCAGAUAUACGCAGGUAAAAGUAGUGUCUGGAGAUGAAUAUGAAAACAUUUCAUUAUAGUCAUAGUUCUUUCAGACCUAGAGUUUGGUCUGCCCAGUUGGUUUGUUAAGUAUGAAAACAACUGCUUAUCCAGGACUCCUGGACUCCUUUCCUGCAGCAGGUUAAUUUGUUGUGACUAAACCCAUCUCCUAUAUCUGUCCACUCAGCUACUUCAGAACUAGCCAUAAAACCAAAGGAAGGAAACACGACAAAGCCUAAGAUUUGGAUUCUCUUCCAUCUAUGGUAAUCAGUCUGAUUCCCUAAGAAAAAUAUUGAAAGAACUAUGUCUAAUUUCUUUAAUUGAUCAGUACCUUCCUUUUGAGUUACAUAUCUCCUGCUUUUGAUACGGAGACCCAAUCCUGUUGUCAGGGAGUCACAUGGUUAGACUAGUACUUUUGGUCUUUUAUUUGUAGGAUUGUGUGUGUGUGUGUAUGUGUGUGUGUGUGUAUGAACUUGCCAUGUUCAGUAAUGCACUCAGUCAUUUAUAGUCACCCAACAUGUUGUUGGGUGACAGUCACCAAGAAACUAAUUCCCAAAAGGAAAUUCCCACUGCAACAUCCAACCAAGAGUGUACGGUGAGAAUGGAGAACCUAUAUGGGCCCUGGAGGAAUGGCAUCAGGGUUCUGUUGCACGGUUACUGAUGACUUCCCCAAAAUAAGGGCUAGUCAGCAAAAUAACAGACACAGGGGCAAGAGGAAACAGCAGGGGUGAGCCGAAUAUUAGAACAAACCACCACCAAAAUGAAACCGUUUCAGAAGUUCAUGAAGCACAUUCACGAAAAUAAGUAUCACACAUCCAAGAGGCUCAUGGGUAGUUAGUCCCUGCCCUCCAGGGAUAAUCAAAAGAGGAAACUUAAGGCAAAAUGUAUAUAAUUAUCUAAUCAGAGUUAUUCUGCACAUAAUCAUGCUUAACAAAUAUUCAGCUGUGUAAUCAGAAAUGGGAUACUUCUCUGCAAAAUAUUUUAGAGGUGCUAUGCAGUUUUACUGGAAUGUCCAAAAUAUGUUUAGUCAAAUACUAAAGCAAUGUAUUCUUUCGAGAACAAUCCUAUGCUACUGUUCCAAUUUCUUAUUUCCUAGUCUGUGCUAUUCAGAUUGUUGGUGAAAGAAUAGUUUAUUUUUAUGACACUAUAAUAGUCAUUCUCCUAUCUUACAGCUUGGUCAGACAGGCCUCUCCUGUUUACUGAAAGAUGUCUUAGUAAUAAACUAACAGGUCCCAGACUACCUGAAUUCUUGCAAAACAGCACAGAUUUUUGUAUGUGGCAUGAUGCACAGAGUUCUAUUUACUCAAUGUUUUAAAAUUAGGAAAAGUCGUUUCAUUGAGCCAGAGACAACUUAGUGAAAACUUUCACCCCACUUUAAGCCAAUAAUAACUGCAGUUGAAAGAUUGUUUGAGAAGCCUAAGAUAGUAAAAUUACAAGCUCUUUGUAUCGUGUAAACUGUAAGAUGUGCAUUAUAAGAGCAUCUCUUUUUUUUUUUUUUUUUUUUUUGCUGUACGCGGGCCUCUCACUGUUGUGGCCUCUCCCGUUCCGGAGCACAGUCUCCGGACACGCAGGCUCAGCAGCCAUGGCUCACGGGCCCAGCCGCUCCACGGCAUGUGGGAUCUUCCCGGACCCGGGUACGAACCCAUGUCCCCUGCAUCGGCAGGCGGACUCUCAACCACUGCACCACCAGGGAAGCCCCUAUAAGAGCAUCUUAAUGAAUGUGAUACAUUUGCAGACACAGACAUUUGCCCUUUUCUCUCUCUCACUUGUUAUAGAUUUGGGUCUCUUACAUUUACAUAUAUACAGGUAUUAUUUUUGUGAUUAUCUGAUUGCUUUAGAAACUUUAGGGACUUCCCUGGCAGUCCAGUGGUUAAGACUGUGCUUCCACUGCAGGGGGCAUGCGUUCGAUCCCUGGUCAGGGUAUUAAGAUCCCGCAUGCCACGCAGCAAGGCAAAAAUAAAUAAGUAAAUAAAGCCACAGUUUUUUUUAAAAAAAAAGAAAUUUUAAUUAAAGCGUUAUCAGUAAAAGAAUUGUUUUACAUGUUAUAUGCCUAAUUAUAUUCAGAACAGGUAUUAUAUUCCUUUUUUAUCGACUAUGACCUCUGUGCUUAUAUCUUAGCAUGUAGCCCCCAAGUUGAAGCCAUUUUUAUGUCAACACAUGUAGACAUCCAGAAAUGAACUAAAAGUAAGGUGACUGAAUUUUUUAUAUUUGGUUAUCUAUGUGGUUAAUUACUGAUGAUUAUGAGUUAGGGUUUGACAUACUAGAAAAUUUUAAAUCAGUUUGGUUUAUCAUGUUGAAAUUUGGGUUAUAAUCACGUUAACAGUCUAACUCAAAUGACGGUGUUACUACCAGCACCACCCUGUUAAUUGAGAGUCACAGUUCGGAAUAAAAGUAUGCACUGCUGUGAUUUUCUAUAUCACUUACCUGAAAAAUAGCUGCUAAAGAAUAUGUAAUAGGAAAUUGCACUUUUCUCUUGCUAAAUAUCUGUAAUUUCUUUUAAAACAUAUGUGUAUUCUGCUUGUUAACUCCCAGCACAUAAAACCAGGUGACAGUAUCAGCUCUCUAAUUACCAUCCAUCGUAGUUGGCCCUGGCUCUUCUGUCCUGACCAUCCCUCGGUCCUGUCCCAUCCAUGUAGUUCACCUUCAUUCUCAUGAAAGUGCUCUACACUCAAACUGUUAGACUGCCCUUAGAUUUCCUUUAAAAAUCUCGUCCUUUGCUUUAAAUUAAAGAAAUGAGCAGGACAGAAAAGAAACUAAAAGGAACAAAACAACAGAAGAACUUAAGGCAUCUUAUUAUCUGGUGAGUCUUCAUUAUUUUAUGUCAGCAUUAUGAAAUUAAAUUCAUAUUAGAUCUAUAUAAGCCAAUUAUUAACUUAUAAUAUCUUGUGUUUAGGGAACUGCCCUGGUGUUUCAAAUCCUGGCAAGUAUAUUUUUUUCCUACACCUUAACUUUACUUUUUUAAAUGAAAACUUCUCUUUCUGACCUGAUCCUCUUUUGUCUUUCAGGUUUCUAGCACCUUUGUAUUACUUCCAGAUUCCUGCAGAGAAAUGGAACAUCAAGCCAGAAGCUCACUUAGUUUGUUUUACAUCAUGAUGGGGGAUUUCAUUAAGUGCCUGACUGUGCUCCAUUGUGUCACUAAGAGCUUUCUCUGCCACCUAGGACAGGCAUUGCCCGUCCUCCAGAAGACUGAAUUUUAAGUCAGAGAACUUUGAAGCCAACAGGUAGAAGAAAGAUCGAACAACAGAACUAGUAUGGAACAAGGACAGAGAUAACUACUAUUGUGGUACAAAAAUCUUAAGGGGUUCCGAGUCUUCAUGCUUAGGAUUUGGUAUUUCUAAUAACUUGAACCAACAGAAAUGCUGGUAACAGUUGCAUGGACUUCCUUUUACUGAUUUUCUUACGCUCCAGAAACAUACCAUCCCAUGUUCAAAGGAUGGAAGUCCAAAGAAUUCUUAUCUUUAUUCCCUAACAUGCCUAGCUCCAUCAUACUACUGGUCAGUCCUGUGUGUUUCCUACCUAACAAACUCAGAUCAAAGCCAAAUGAAAUGUCUUCUCCAGACCUUUCUCACUCCUAAUUUUAUAAAUAAAAAAUAUUUUUAUUUUUUAUAUAAAUACUUCUUAGAUUCCAGUUUCUGUUAAUGAUGGACUAGCUUGAUCAUCCACAGGUAAUAAUGAUGAAAUUGGACAAUUUGAAAGUAUUGUAGAGUAACCAGAAACAGGCAGAAACUGAAUAAAUCUAACCUUGAAAGACAAUGGGUGACAUUUGUUUAUGGGUUUUUGCCUGAGGGCAUUCUCCAAUCUUGGGUCAAGAACACAAACUGAAGGUGUUGAA